rnacentral:tRNA from 1 species
GCCAGUGUGGCUCAGUGGAUAGAGCGUUGGCCUGCGAACUAAAAGGUCCCAGGUUCGAUUCUGGUCAAGGGCA